UCGGAUCGCAGGCUGCAACCCGCCUGCGUGAAGUUGGAAUCGCUAGUAAUCGCGGAUCAGCAUGCCGCGGUGAAUACGUUCCCGGGCCUUGUACACACCGCCCGUCACACCAUGAGAGUUUGUAACACCCAAAGCCGGUGGGGUAACCUUUUGGAGCCAGCCGUCUAAGGUGGGACAGAUGAUUGGGGUGAAGUCGUAACAAGGUACC
rnacentral:rRNA from 1 species